AUAUCUCUCUGUACGGGAAGGAUGAGAAGCUUCGACUAAGGUUCGAUUCGAGCGUCAGCGAGAAAGCGUUGCCGCAGGCAACGACCCGAAGGGCGAAGCGCGCAGCGCUGAGUCAUCCAUCCUUCCCCCACCACCA
rnacentral:sRNA from 1 species